AUAGCUGUCAACGUUUCCAUUUUUUUAAAGGGAAAUUCCCUCAUUCCGAAUAGGAUUCCUCGCCAGAAAAGGGGAAAAGUUGACAGCUAUGUGCCCUGCUCUUGGCACACUUCUGCUGCUUUUUUUGGAAAGGUCGUUCUCGGAAUGGGGUGCCCCAGCGGUGGAGAAGGCCCCGUCCCUCGCCAUUAAAACCAAGAGGAAGAGACGCCCCUCGCCGGCACUCCCUGUUGCAAGGAGCCUGGAAAGGGAGGAAAGAGCGCGCAGCGACGCGGGCAACUCCCGCCCGGGGAACAUUCUCCGUCGGGCAGAACCUCCCUGUUGCAGCUGGAAGCGGGGAAGCGGGGACUCAGUGCUUGUGGGGGACAGAGACUCCUCUCGCAAUUUAAUUUCUUAACAUUAUUCAUUCAUGAGCAUAAGACUUUUCUUAAUAGCCAGUCUUUGCAAAGAGAGCAACUCUGCUCCUCCCCCACAUUCCACACCCAGGGAUACACUUCGGUAGAGAAGCAAACAUGACUUUUGCUUGCAGUCGUUUCCUCUUCAUGUUUCUGUACUUUCUGGACACUUUUAGCCGUGCGGUGGAGAACCCAGCCUAUCAGGUAAAAGGAAUCCUGGGAGGAUCAGUCUUGUUUCCUGCCAACAUAUCUCAAGGAAUAACAGUGGAGAAAAUGGAAUGGGACUUCUACCCCCAAAGGGGUGGCCUGGGCUUUUGGCUGGGGGAAUUCAGCCACGGUAAACUGGAGCACCCAAGUCCCACUGACCGGUUUGGACAACGGCUAGACAUGGUGAACGAGACAACACUGAAGGUCAAAGACCUGGAGUUGGAUGACAGUGGGAUCUACAAUGCUCGCAUCUGGUUUAUGAAAUCACAGUUUCAAGAACAGAGUUUCAGCCUCACAGUUUAUGAGCCAGUGCCAACACCACAGAUGCUCCAUCAAGAGAUAUCCAGUAAUCUAGAGGGAUGUAAUGUGACCCUGCAAUGUCAGACACCUGGAAGGUCAGACACUCAAGGUCUCCUGGGAAAGAGGGAAUCCCUCCAGGGCCUUAGAAAGCAGCCUGGAUGAGUUCCAGCUUUCUGAAAGUGGGAGGCAGCUCAAUGUCUCCUGGAAGACCAUACCUUUUGACUCCACAUUGACUUGCCUGGUCAGCAACCCUGUCAGUGAAAAGAGAGCCUCAUUUGACUUGUCCCACAUCUGCUCAGGUAUUGGAGGUGGACAUAUUGGAACCCAGAAGAUCCUGCAUCUUAUUUCUGGUCUCUUUGCAAUUUUGUUUUUGUUGGGAAUUGUGAUUCUGCUUGCAGUAUGCCAGUGGAGAAAAAGGCAUCAAGGAGAAAUUGUCCGUAGGCUUCCAGAGAAGGGGCAAAAUUUUAUUGCACACCAGAACUCAGAAGAGAGGCUCCCACAACUUUUCAGAUUUCCUGCGUAAGUGAGGAAUGUCACAUGAGUUCCAUACCGCUUUGGAAAUCCUGUCUUCCUAUCCAUUCUGACCCAGGAGCAGACACAUAUAGCCCAGAAGAUGAACAGACCAAGGGGAGGAGCAGGCAUGUCUCUUGGAACCAGUGCAAGUGAUUGUUUUGAGGCAACAUUGACAGUUCACCCGGCACAAUGGCCAGAGCUUCCCAGUCAGGAGCAGGGGCACCCCCCUCCUCAAUAGAUGGAGUGCCCCCUUGCCAACAAAUGAAGUGCCCCUCCAUCAUCAGCCAGAGCACCCUCUCAUCCUCAGCUGGAGAUUUCCCUGUUUGCAGUUGCAGUAUCCUCUCCCCAACAGCUGGACCUGCCAGGUGUCAUGGACAUGAUGUUUGCAGAGCUAUUGGAGGAGGCCCCAGGUGGGGAACCCCCGAGGGAAGAAGGCUCAGAGCCGGAGGAUUUUGGGAGGGAUGACAAUGAGUGGUCAGAGGGAGAAGAGGCAGCAAAC